AUUGAACGCUGGCGGCAGGCCUAACACAUGCAAGUCGGACGGUAGCACAGAGGAGCUUGCUCCUCGGGUGACGAGUGGCGGACGGGUGAGUAAUGUCUGGGGAUCUGCCCGAUAGAGGGGGAUAACCACUGGAAACGGUGGCUAAUACCGCAUAACGUCGCAAGACCAAAGAGGGGGACCUCCGGGCCUCCCACUAUCGGAUGAACCCAGAUGGGAUUAGCUAGUAGGCGGGGUAACGGACCACCUAGGCGACGAUCCCUAGCUGGUCUGAGAGGAUGACCAGCCACACUGGAACUGAGACACGGUCCAGACUCCUACGGGAGGCAGCAGUGGGGAAUAUUGCACAAUGGGCGCAAGCCUGAUGCAGCCAUGCCGCGUGUAUGAAGAAGGCCUUCGGGUUGUAAAGUACUUUCAGCGGGGAGGAAGGCGAUGUGGUUAAUAACCGCGUCGAUUGACGGUACCACAGGAGGAAGCCCCGGCUAACUACGUGCCAGCCGCCGCCGUAA
rnacentral:rRNA from 1 species